GAUGAACGCUGGCGGCGUGCUUAAUACAUGCAAGUCGAGCGAACAGACCAGGAGCUUGCUCCUCUGACGUUAGCCGCGGGCGGGUGAGUAACACGUGGAUAACCUACCUAUAAGACUGGGAUAACUUCGGGAAACCGGAGCUUAUACCGGAUGAUAUAUUGAACCGCAGGGUGCAAUAGUGAAAGACGGUUUUGCUGUCACUUAUAGAUGGUUCCGCGCCGCAUUAGCUAGUUGGUAAGGUUACGGCUUACCAAGGCAACGAUGCGUAGCCGAACUGAGUGGGUGAUCGGCCACACUGGAACUGAGACAGGGUCCAGGCGCCUACGGGAGGCAGCAGUAGGGAAUCUUCCGCAAUGGGCGAAAGCCUGACGGAGCAGCGCCGCGUGAGUGAUGAAGGUCUUCGGAUCGUAAAGCUCUGUUAUUAGGGAAGAACAAAUGUGUAAGUAACUGUGCCCGUCUUGACGGUACCUAAUCAGAAAGCCCCGGCUAACUACGUG
rnacentral:rRNA from 1 species